rnacentral:misc_RNA from 1 species
AACGCAUCUUGCGCUCCUUGGUAUUCCGAGGAGCAUGCCUGUUUGAGUGUCAUGAAACUAUCAAACAGCAAAUGUUUGUAUUAACAGUUGCUAGUUUGGAUAUUGGAUGCUUGCUGGACAGUUGCAUGACCGCCCGGCUCAUCUGAAAUUUAUUAGCUGAUCCAAACAUCAAGGAUUAUCCACUUGGCGUGAUAAGCAUCACCCGCUGAGGACUUGUCCAAAGAUAAUGGAUUGCUUCUAAUCCUAGAUACUGCUGUAUCACAUUGAAUCAUCUGACCUCAAAUCAGGUAGGACUACCCGCUGAACUUAA